rnacentral:rRNA from 1 species
UGGGGGAAUUUUGGACAAUGGGAGAAACCCUGAUCCAGCCAUCCCGCGUGUGCGAUGAAGGCCUUCGGGUUGUAAAGCACUUUUGGCAGGAAAGAAGCGUCGCGGGUUAAUACCCCGCGAAACUGACGGUACCUGCAGAAUAAGCACCGGCUAACUACGUGCCAGCAGCCGCGGUAAUACGUAGGGUGCAAGCGUUAAUCGGAAUUACUGGGCGUAAAGCGUGCGCAGGCGGUUCGGAAAGAAAGAUGUGAAAUCCCAGAGCUUAACUUUGGGAACUGCAUUUUUUAACUACCGGGCUAGAGUGUGUCAGAGGGAGGUGGAAUUCCGCGUGUAGCAGUGAAAUGCGUAGAUAUGCGGAGGAACACCGAUGGCGAAGGCAGCCUCCUGGGAUAACACUGACGCUCAUGCACGAAAGCGUGGGGGAGCAAACAGGAUUAGAUACCCUGGUAGUCCACGCCCCUAAACGAUGUCAACUAGCUGUUGGGGGCCUUCGGGCCUUGGUAGCGCAGCUAACGCGU